CGGCACUCCAGAUAUUUUGGAUUACACUUCCCCUGAUGCUUUUCCAGCAUUAUGGGGGAUGUAGUCCAUAACAUUUGGAGUGCUG